AACGUGACAGGAAGUACCUAAAUACCUAUGAAUGUGAAGGCUUUCAAAUUGAAAUCCAGUCUUCCUCAAACGUUUGAUUUUACUUUUCUCCACAAUCCUCUCAAGGCUGCAGCUAUUCCUAUUGAUUUUACACCUUCUUUUCAUUCUUUCAAUUAGCUUUUUAUUCAUAACCUUCCAGCAUUGUACCUGGAGUACACUAGUGGAUUUUGCUGUUUGAGAAAGAAUCCAGCAGGUGCCAAUUAUCACUGUCUGGCACCUUUUUGUUCCCAUGUUUCGCUUCAGAAAAGCUAAACAGUCGGAGGUGAUCUAAAAACUGACCUCAGCGUUCAUCAAAGUUUAUCUCCAUGGAAACAAUCAAAGUCCAGGCUUUGUUAUCUUCAGGAGGAUUCUGCUGGCAAACGCUCAGGCCAAAUAAAAUCUAUGAGAAGAGUCGCAGCUGCAGGAGGCGUGUUUUGAAAGCCGAUAACAAAAGCUCUUUAUCUUUAGUUUUUAUAGAAAGAAUUCAUUUUCAGAUUUGUUCCUUCUAAAGUUUAGAUCAGUGGAACAAAGUAUAAAUUUGUCUCAUGCAUGAGCACUGAAUGUGAAUGUGGUGGUAAAGGUGUGAAAUUUGAUCCAUGGAUGGCUGCACAUGGUAUUUGACAGCAGUCAGACAUACCAGUUCCUCCUCAUUAUCCUCAUGUUUAAACCCCAAUCAUUUCUGUACUUUUCCAUCCUGCUGUCUUCACAGGAUAAUAAAGCUUUGUUCAUUUUAACUC